AUGCAGCAGACCCAGUGGACAAGACUAUAGAGCAUGGAGGGCCACCUUGAAAGCAGUCACAACGUACAGAAGGCAGCAUCAGGCAGCUGCCAACAAGUUUUGUUAAGAUUUAAGGAAGUAGCCCCUCAAGAUUCAUCCGUCUCCUAGCCUCAACUUCCCUUUCACUCAGAUGCAAAGUGCUUGUGAGUGGAGAAGGGCUCAGCAGAAUGUCAUCAUUCUUACACUUUGGGCUUUCAAGUGAUCUAUGCUCUGGGGGAUGCUGAAUGCAUCGCCUCAGAGGCUCUGGGAAGUGGGGGAGGAGGCUGGCUCUUGGAAGCUGAGCUCAACUUCUCCCAGAACAUUACAGAGGUUGAAAAAAUCUGUCCUCCAAAUAUUCAACACAUAUGUUCUGAAAUUCAUUAAGUUCCAAAAUUAAAAAACAAGUUUAAAAGA